rnacentral:lncRNA from 1 species
CUAGUGUACUCGCGAAGGGUAGCACCCUAACUCGCACACGCACACGCGCGCGCGCGCGUGGCGUGGGCGAUGAGGCGCAAUGUGGCGCUUUGAUGGCGCACUUUGCGCUUCGCAUCGCCGCGAGCCGCCUUUAUAUUUUUGACCGCGCACGCGUGGUGGAGCACAAGGGUUGCAAGGACCAAGUGGUAGGUGAUGUGGUGCAUGACAUGGCAGUCAUGCGCAAACGCGCGCGAGCGAGUACACAUGAGCGCGCGGUUGCGCACAUGGUGCAUGGGCCUGAUGUGAUGUGCGCGGCGCACCAAGUGAGCCAAAACGGCGCGACUGUGUGGCGUGCUCGUAGAGGCUCACAGGUGACGUGGCGCACGCGCGCAGGCGCGCAUGGACCUGAGUGAGUAUGGCACACGCGCGCAUGGCAGUGAGCCAAGUGGACGCACCGCGCAUGAGGGUGCAGACCUGCGCGCGCACCAGUGUGUCUUGCGCGCGCGCGGAAGCUUCCUGCUGCAGUUAAUGCCAGUGUAGUUACAUUCAGGCUUAGCGUAUGCUGUGAGCAAGCUAUGUAGAUACACUAGUAAUCCGAGCGAGGAUCAUUGGAAAGCUAUCACGAGGGUGCUCAGAUACAUAAGAUACACGAGAGACUACGGAUUGCAUUAUACCCGUGAUCCAGCAGUGAUCGAAGGAUACACUGACG